GCAGGAAGGGGCAGCAAGGAGCAGAAAGGGACAGCAAGGAGCAGAAAGGUAAAGGAGCAGAAAGAAUCAGAAGGAGCACAAAGGUAAAGUAGGAGAAAGAGCAGAAAGGUAAAAGAGCAGAAGGGGCCAAGGAUAGAAAACAGUGUCAGAAGAAAAAAAAAGACUGUCAAAUGAAGGAGAGGAAAAGGAGAUUGGAGCAGGAAGGACAAAUGAAGUGAACCCUCCACUUUAUUCUGGACACCAUAUCAUAAGGCUUUGGUA